rnacentral:rRNA from 1 species
GAUGAACGCUGGCGGCGUGCCUAAUACAUGCAAGUCGAGCGAACAGACGAGGAGCUUGCUCCUCUGACGUUAGCGGCGGACGGGUGAGUAACACGUGGAUAACCUACCUAUAAGACUGGGAUAACUUCGGGAAACCGGAGCUAAUACCGGAUAAUAUAUUGAACCGCAUGGUUCAAUAGUGAAAGACGGUUUUGCUGUCACUUAUAGAUGGAUCCGCGCCGCAUUAGCUAGUUGGUAAGGUAACGGCUUACCAAGGCAACGAUGCGUAGCCGACCUGAGAGGGUGAUCGGCCACACUGGAACUGAGACACGGUCCAGGCUCCUACGGGAGGCAGCAGUAGGGAAUCUUCCGCAAUGGGCGAAAGCUUGACGGAGCAACGCCGCGUGAGUGAUGAAGGUCUUCGGAUCGUAAAACUCUGUUAUUAGGGAAGACCAAAUGUGUAAGUAACUAUGCACGUCUUGACGGUACCUAAUCAGAAAGCCACGGCUAACUACGUG